GUGCCAGCCGCCGCGGUAAUACGGAGGGUGCAAGCGUUAUCCGGAUUCAUUGGGUUUAAAGGGUGCGCAGGCGGAUACUUAAGUCAGUGGUGAAAUCCCGGGGCUCAACCCCGGAACUGCCAUUGAUACUGAAUAUCUGGAAUACGGUUGAAGUGGGCGGAAUGUAGCAUGUAGCGGUGAAAUGCAUAGAGAUGCUACAGAACACCGAUCGCGAAGGCAGCUCACUAAGCCGAUAUUGACGCUCAGGCACGAAAGCGUGGGGAGCGAACAGGAUUAGAUACCCUGGUAGUCCACGCCGUAAACGAUGAUAACUCGUUGUUGGCGACACACAGUCAGCGACUAAGCGAAAGCGAUAAGUUAUCCACCUGGGGAGUACGAUCGCAAGGUUGAAACUCAAAGGAAUUGACGG
rnacentral:rRNA from 1 species